GCGAACGCUGGCGGCAGGCCUCACACAUGCCAGUCGAACGAACUCUUCGGAGUUAGUGGCGGACGGGUGAGUAGCACGUGGGAACGUGCCUUUUGGUUCGGAAUAACUCAGGGAAACUUGUGCUAAUACCGAAUGUGCCCUUCGGGGGAAAGAUUUAUCGCCAUUAGAGCGGCCCGCGUCUGAUUAGCUAGUUGGUGAGGUAACGGCUCACCAAGGCGACGAUCAGUAGCUGGUCUGAGAGGAUGACCAGCCACACUGGGACUGAGACACGGCCCAGACUCCUACGGGAGGCAGCAGUGGGGAAUCUUGCGCAAUGGGCGAAAGCCUGACGCAGCCAUGCCGCGUGAAUGAUGAAGGUCUUAGGAUUGUAAAAUUCUUUCACCGGGGACGAUAAUGACGGUACCCGGAGAAGAAGCCCCGGCUAACUUCGUG
rnacentral:rRNA from 1 species